rnacentral:misc_RNA from 1 species
GAUGAAGAACGCAGCGAAAUGCGAUACGUAAUGUGAAUUGCAGAAUUCAGUGCAUCAUCGAGUCUUUGAACGCACAUUGCGCCCCCUGGUAUUCCGGGGGGCAUGCCUGUCCGAGCGUCAUUGCUGCCCUCAAGCACGGCUUGUGUGUUGGGCCUCCGUCCUCCUCCCGGGGGACGGGCCCGAAAGGCAGCGGCGGCACCGCGUCCGGUCCUCGAGCGUAUGGGGCUUCGUCACCCGCUCUUGUAGGCCCGGCCGGCGCUUGCCGACACAUCAAUCUUUUUUCCAGGUUGACCUCGGAUCAGGUAGGGAUACCCGCUGAACUUAAGCAUAUCAAUAAGCGGAGGA